CGGGGCGGCGUGUCCACUCGUGGCUGGUGUUCGCACUGCUAUCACUUGUUCGCAAGGUGCAGAGAUGAACUUUAAGCUACUGAUUCUGCUGCUGGUGGCCGUGUUUGGCGCCAUCUCGGCAAUCAGACCCUACGGCCGCUUUUACCCAGACUUUGGACGACGCUACGGGGGUCGUGUCCGCUGUAUCCCGGGCCGUGGCCACUGGUGCGGUGGUGGUCGCCGCUAAACCGAAGGCUUUGCAGAAGGCUGCAGAGGUCGUGGCCACGGUGGCUAAGGUCGCCACUAUCGACACAGAAAGAUGGCGUAGGAGAGCCGUCGGUGGGGAAGAUUUCGUUCAAGUCUCCCUGCGGUGUGACCCGACCCUGACGCGUACAAUGAUCGCUGUCUGAACUGACCACUGUCCGCCUGACUCUGAUCGUUACGUGGAGCUGCUUUUCUGCUGCAAAAUAACUCUGCACACACAAAGUCUCGUUUAAGCAACAAAGGAGGUAUGACUUGAUCACACUGCGGCAAAUGUCAACGCUCGUGUGCCUCGCGGAAAACACCGCAGUGUUGAAGCAAAGCCAGCAGACUGAAGCCCUGCAUGAACGAGCUGCAUGAACGCCACGGCCGGUCACCCUUUCAGGCGUGCCUGGUCGUAGUGUGGGGUGCGAUGUUUUGUUAAUACACUAGCCAGCUUGUGCCUCUCA